UACGUAGGUGGCAAGCGUUAUCCGGAUUUACUGGGUGUAAAGGGCGUGUAGGCGGGACUGCAAGUCAGAUGUGAAAACCAUGGGCUCAACCUGUGGCCUGCAUUUGAAACUGUAGUUCUUGAGUACUGGAGAGGCAGACGGAAUUCCUAGUGUAGCGGUGAAAUGCGUAGAUAUUAGGAGGAACACCAGUGGCGAAGGCGGCUUACUGGACGGCAACUGACGCUGAGGCUCGAAAGCGUGGGGAGCAAACAGG
rnacentral:rRNA from 1 species